rnacentral:rRNA from 1 species
UGCCAGACUCCUACGGGAGGCAGCAGUGGGGGAUAUUGCACAAUGGGGGAAACCCUGAUGCAGCGACGCCGCGUGUGGGAAGACGGUCCUCUGGAUUGUAAACCACUGUCCCCAGGGACGAAGAUGACGGUACCUGACUAAGAAGCCCCGGCUAACUGCGUGCCAGCAGCCGCGGUAAUACGUAGGGGGCAAGCGUUAUCCGGAUUUACUGGGUGUAAAGGGAGCGUAGACGGCAGUGCAAGUCCGGAGUGAAAGCCCGGGGCUCAACCCUGGGACUGCUUUUGAAACUGUGUAACUGGAGUGCAGGAGAGGUAAGCGGAAUUCCUGGUGUAGCGGUGAAAUGCGUAGAUAUCAGGAGGAACACCAGUGGCGAAGGCGGCUUACUGGACUGUAACUGACGUUGAGGCUCGAAAGCGUGGGGAGCAAACAGGAUUAGAUACCCCUGUA